GGUCAGCAACUAUUCUGUCGUUCAUUUCGUUUAGCGACUCGUAAUUUGCAUAUGUUUGCGCAUCGCACAUGUUUCGCGUGCGCAGGUGUGAGUGAUUCUAUUUGGUAAAAUAGGCUUGGUAUAAUUAAUUUUGUGUUGUCUCAUUUGAGUUAGGUAUGUUGAUACAGCUGAGCCACCGCUAGGACUGCUGUUUACCCCGUCUUUUCGCCAUAGGAGCCUUUAUGAAGAGGUACAACGUUGUUCCAGUUUCCGCACGCUCGGAGCAGAGCCCGACCUUUUUUAUCAAGAAAGAGUCGGAGGCUUCAACUUAUCACUGGUAGCUCUAUGGUUAGGUUCGGCGAUUCUGGGCAUUGCAUUUUGUGGACCAGCCAGCAUUCAGCAACCCGAAAAGCUGAGGGACCAGGCCUCAAGACGCUCGGACAGCUGUCAACCACUGCGGCAGUUUUCCUAAGGAAGCAUUCAGUACAACGCGCGUGGGUGUGAUGCGAGGACGUCUGAAAAUACCACCUCAAGUUCAGCAACUUAGACCCACCAGCCAGCUGAGAAGUACACGCAGCAAACCAUAUGGGAGGACGGCGUACAGGCAGGGAUGGUGGCCAAGCAAAGGGAUCAAGAAGUUAAAAACCAGACUUAAAAUUCAGAAACAGAGAGACAACAGCCCCAGAAUUUUUUACUCUCUCGUACGUUCGAAUUGUGACCUGAACUUCCAUUUUGCCUUAAAGUAACAGAAUAUGUUAGAGGGCGUCUGUUAAACGUUUUCUUCGUAAAAAAAAAAACAACAUCUAUACUGUCUUAGAGUUCACUGUAGGGAUGACCACUGUAUUUGCUUGUUUUUAAUUAGAACACAUCAACGUCAGAAGUUGUCCAGGAAGUGACAUGUUUUUCGUUGUAAUGUUGAGAAACAACUAGUUAUUAAAUCGGUUUGCUGUUUU